UCACAGCAUUUCCACUUUGUCGUUUUGACAUGCACCCUACUUGUCGUUGAUUUGAAGCCCUAAAAUUUUAUUUUCUUUCCUUUUCUUCUCCACUGCUUGCCUUGUUGUCUAUCUCAGACAGUGUAAUCUCAUUUCAGUUCUCAUUCUUGGCUUACUUCUCCACCAACACCGUCGAUUUUUGAGUCUCGACUAUGAACAGUUGACUUUCACUUCUCCUGCUCCACCUUAUCUCCCUCCUCUGUCGAAUCCACACUGUCACGUCGAGUCUUGCUAUGUGAUUGCGUUUGUGGGUGUGGCUCUACCUGUCAAAUUCAAGAUUCAAGAGUCUCACUCGACUGUGGUUCUCUCGUUUCCUCAUUCCUUCACAAAGUAGCCAAAAUCCGCACACACCUCCCCAAGAUGCGAGGCAACGAUCGUAGGGGAGGUUUAUUGAGCCAUUCAUAGGUAAGGUAGUUACUUCUACAGGAUGAGCCCAAUGAUCAGCUAGACCAGUCUGCACAGGGUCAGCCUCAGGUUCCUUCACCAUCCACUGGGAGGUCAAUGCCAAAUCUAAAGGGGUCUACUGCUUUAACACAGAAUCAAGCUACACCUCUACCUCCACCACCAUCACCCACUACUCCGUCUUUUGAGCCUGCAAUUGGAUCUACCUCUAGUCAUGGAGGUCAUUCAGUUGGGGUAGUACCGAUAUCAUCGAUGGAUGGCCUAUCACUCACUACCUUUGGAAGGAAGAAAUGAAUAAAGCUCAUUAAUGGCACGUUACCUUCAUCUGAGGAAUGUGCAAAGAAUAUGAAGAAUAUUUUCAAGGAGAGGAUGGACCCAGAGGGGCACUGUUGGAAGAUUGUCACUUCUGAGACAAAUGAGUUUUACUGGGAUGAAUUUCAGUUGACUCUUCUCAUAAAGGAAGCUUGGAGGCGCAAGGCUGCAGAGCGCUACAAGGCACUAAUGUGCAAUGUCAGGAAAGGAAAAUCCAAGGUCAUCGUGCUGAUAGGACAAUGCAAAAAUGGAAGGAGUCAGGAAGUAGCCCAGAGUUCAAAGCCAAGAGCCUUCAGUUCACUGCUAACCGCUGUAGUGAGAUAGUGAGAGUUGGGGUAGGCAUUUCUAGACACACAGGGGUUCAGUUUCACAUGCUACUCACACAGAUAGAACGAUAAUGAUUUCAUAUUUACUAGUUUUGUUAGUGUUUAUCUAUAUAUUAGUAGUGAUUAAUCAAACAUUAUUAUAAACAUCACUAAAAUUAUUAUAUCUUUUCA